rnacentral:rRNA from 1 species
CCUUGUGCCAGCAGCCGCGGUAAUUCCAGCUCCAAUAGCGUAUAUUAAAGUUGUUGUGGUUAAAAAGCUCGUAGUUGGAUCUCAACAGCCUUGAAGCGGUUAACUUUGUAGUUUUACUGCUUUAUAGGCUGUGCUUUUGCUGGAGGUUUAGGGGUGCUCUUGAUCGAGUGUCUCUGGAUGCCAGCAGGUUUACUUUGAAAAAAUUAGAGUGCUCAAAGCAGGCUAAAAUGCCUGAAUAUUCGUGCAUGGAAUAAUAGAAUAGGAUGUCGAUCCUAUUUUGUUGGUUUUCGGGACUCGACAUAAUGAUAAAUAGGGACAGUCGGGGGCAUUUGUAUUCAAACGACAGAGGUGAAAUUCUUGGACCGUUUGAAGACAAACUACUGCGAAAGCAUUUGCCAAGAAUGUUUUCAUUAAUCAAGAACGAAAGUUAGAGGUUCGAAGGCGAUUAGAUACCGCCCUAGUUCUAACCAUAAACGAUGCCAGCUAGCGAUCUGCCUGCGUUUUUACUGUAGACUGGGCAGGAAGCUUCCGGGAAACCAAAGCAUUUGGGUUCCAGGGGAAGUAUGGUUGCAAAGCUGAAACUUAAAGGAAUUGACGGAAGGGCACCACCAGGAGUGGAGCCUGUGGCUUAAUUUGACUCAACACGGGAAAUCUCACCAGGCCCGGACACUGGAAGGAUUGACAGAUUGAUAGCUCUUUCUUGAUUCGGUGGGUGGUGGUGCAUGGCCGUUCUUAGUUGGUGGAGUGAUUUGUCUGGUUAAUUCCGAUAACGAACGAGACUCUGUCCUGCUAAAUAGUUUCUACUUCUCUUUUGAGUAGAAAUUUCUUCUUAGAGGGACUGGUGACUCUUAGUCACACGAGAUUGAGCAAUAACAGGUCUGUGAUGCC